rnacentral:rRNA from 1 species
CUUGCUCUUUGGGUGACGAGUGGCGGACGGGUGAGUAAUGUCUGGGGAUCUGCCCGGCAGAGGGGGAUAACUACUGGAAACGGUAGCUAAUACCGCAUAACCUCGCAAGAGCAAAGAGGGGGACCUUCGGGCCUCUCGCUGUCGGAUGAACCCANAUGGGAUUAGCUAGUAGGUGAGGUAACGGCUCACCCAGGCGACGAUCCCCAGCUGGUCUGAGAGGAUGACCAGCCACACUGGAACUGAGACACGGUCCAGACUCCUACGGGAGGCAGCAGUGGGGAAUAUUGCACAAUGGGCGCAAGCCUGAUGCAGCCAUGCCGCGUGUAUGAANAAGGCCUUCGGGUUGUAAAGUACUUUCAGCGGGGAGGAAGGAUUGCGGGUUAACAGCCUGCGAGCUUGACGUUACCCGCAAAAAAAGCACCGGCUAACUCCGUGCCAGCAGCCGCGGUAAUACGGAGGGUGCAAGCGUUAAUCGGAAUUACUGGGCGUAAAGCGCACGCAGGCGGUCUGACAAGUCAGAUGUGAAAUCCCCGGGCUUAACCUGGGAACUGCAUUUGAAACUGUCAGGCUGGAGUCUUGUAGAGGGGGGUAGAAUUCCAGGUGUANCGGUGAAAUGCGUAGAGAUCUGGAGGAAUACCGGUGGCGAAGGCGGCCCCCUGGACAAAGACUGACGCUCAGGUGCGAAAGCGUGGGGAGCAAACAGGA